GCCGAGAUAGCUCAGUCGGUAGAGCAGAGGACUGAAA
rnacentral:tRNA from 1 species